rnacentral:rRNA from 1 species
UACGAAGGGGGCUAGCGUUGCUCGGAAUCACUGGGCGUAAAGGGUGCGUAGGCGGGUCUUUAAGUCAGGGGUGAAAUCCUGGAGCUCAACUCCAGAACUGCCUUUGAUACUGAAGAUCUUGAGUUCGGGAGAGGUGAGUGGGAACUGCGAGUGUAGAGGUGAAAUUCGUAGAUAUUCGCAAGAACACCAGUGGCGAAGGCGGCUCACUGGCCCGAUACUGACGCUGAG